rnacentral:lncRNA from 1 species
UUUUAAAUAAAUAAUUCAAAAGUUAAAGAGGUGUUUGCCUUUCUCAGACACAUUUAUUGUUUGUCUCGGAGGCCAAUAGAAUUAUUGAUUUUUGUAGAGGAAAAGAAACCUCUUGGAAGAUUUGGUCUGACCUUCUGCAUAAUGUAUUCAAGUCUUAGAGAAGAAAGCUGAAUGAAGCUUUAGGACUGCUCCAGCCUGGGAUGCAUUUGCUGCAAGAUGGGAAAAAACUGUCACAAGGGGAAAAAGUCUGUCAGGCUGCUCUGGGCAGAUCACAUUUUGGCUUGUUUUAAGAAUGGUAAUAUAUGGAAUUCCUUGCAUCUACAAAGACAUGCUCUCCAGAAAUCUGAAGAUGAAGGAUAUCCUGCAUUAAUAUUUUAUGGCAGUCUGGCUGGGAAGCAUCCUACUACUCAACCAGGAGCUGCAAAAGAAUUGAAGUCUGAAUUCUCACCUCUUACCCAAAAAGUGAACCUUGGUAAGUAGUUUGUGCUACUUUCCUUUUGGCUGUGCCAAUUCUAAACCAGAACAGUGUUGAGACUCACGGUGUCAG